AGAGUUUGAUCCUGGCUCAGAUUGAACGCUGGCGGUAUGCCUUACACAUGCAAGUCGAACGGUAGAGGGGCAACCCUUGAGAGUGGCGAACGGGUGAGUAAUACAUCGGAACGUGCCCAGUCGUGGGGGAUAACGUAGCGAAAGCUACGCUAAUACCGCAUACGACCCGAGGGUGAAAGCGGGGGACUCGCAAGAGCCUCGCGCGAUUGGAGCGGCCGAUGGCAGAUUAGGUAGUUGGUGGGGUAAAGGCCCACCAAGCCUGCGAUCUGUAGCUGGUCUGAGAGGACGACCAGCCACACUGGGACUGAGACACGGCCCAGACUCCUACGGGAGGCAGCAGUGGGGAAUUUUGGACAAUGGGCGAAAGCCUGAUCCAGCCAUACCGCGUGCGGGAAGAAGGCCUUCGGGUUGUAAACCGCUUUUGUCAGGGAAGAAAUCCUUUGGGUUAAUACCUCGGAGGGAUGACGGUACC
rnacentral:rRNA from 1 species